rnacentral:rRNA from 1 species
ACGGCCUAAAGCGUGAUUAAAUUAUAUUUAGAAAAAUAGAAAUAAAAAUUAACUCAACUGUCGUACGUAUUUGUUAAACGGCGAACCAUAAACGAAAGAUAUUCUAAUAAACAAACUACUUGAACCCACGAAAGCUAAGAAACAAACUAGGAUUAGAUACCCUACUAUGCUUAGCCUUAAACUUUGGAAAUAACUCGCCCGAGUACUACGAGCCACAGCUUAAAACUCAAAGGACUUGGCGGUGCUCUACACCCCCCUAGAGGAGCCUGUUCUAUAAUUGAUAUUCCCCGCUAAACCUCACCACUUAUUGCCAAUACCGCUUAUAUACCGCCGUCGUCAGCUCACCAUUUAAAUGAAGAAUAGUAGGCAUAAUGAUAAACAUAAAAACGUCAGGUCAAGGUGUAGCGAAUUAAGUGGGAAGAAAUGGGCUACAUUUUCUUAACCAGAAAAUACGAAAAAUAAUAUGAAAAACUAUUUAAAGGUGGAUUUAGCAGUAAAAAGAAAACAAAGUGUUCUUUUUAAAUAGGCCCUAGAGCGCGCACACACCGCCCGUCACCCUCCUCAAAAACCAAUUAAUUAUAUAAUAAAUAAAAGAAAAUAAAAGAAGAGGUAAGUCGUAACAUGGUAAGUUUACCGGAAGGUGUACUUGGAUCAU